UCCCUGGUGGUUCAGUGGUUAAGACUCUGUGCUUCCACUGCAGGAGGCAUGGGUUCAAUUCCUGGUUGGGGAA
rnacentral:tRNA from 1 species